UCAUCAUCAGGGAUUUCAAUAAUUAAAAUUUAAUCAAAUUAGGAGAUUCAAAAAAUAUAAUUGGGCAAUUAAUUAACCUCAAAUUAACUUGGCAGGGCCUAAAAAGAGAAAUCAGCCCAACUCUUUAAUCGCAGCCCAAUUUUAUUCCCUAACCCUGCAGAAAAGCCUCCAUCUUCCUCCCUUCUCUCUUUCUCUGCUUACACACCAGCCCACAGAAUUCUCUCUCUCUCCUCCUCAAUUUUGUUAUGUGCGCCGCUCCUCUGCACUCACCUCUAUCGCUAACCGACCAUAGCCCAAACACCUUCCUUCCUCUACAAAAAAGAAAAGAACUCAUGUUCAUAUCCAAUCUCCCAACUUCAAAAUUCCUGAAAUAAAAGGUUAGAUACACUCUAAAAGUAGCAAAAGUGAUCAAAUUGGACGUUAAUUAGAGAUUGUAAUUAGACGUUUCCUCUUCGAACAGCCUCAGCCUUUCAUUUCAUAUGGUUGUGCUUCGCUGUUGCCCUCUCCGUCAGCCUUGGAUGUCAUGGCCUAAGGUAUAGCGCAUGGGCAGCGUUCUAAAGAUUGCACUACAGCUGGAUGACUAACAUACUCCAUUUUUAUCACUUUCCCGCCAAAAUGCUGCCAGCGGCUGCCCUCGGCGGACAGCAGCAGGUAGCGGUGGCUGGGCGGCGAGGCAACGACCAGCAACGGCUGCUCGGGGUAGCGAGCUACAGUCGAAUCGGGCAAAGUAUAAUAAUUGCGGGAUAUCAGGACCGGAGAGAUUAUUGGGCGUGACACUGAAAGUAACGGGCUGUACUACGUGGAUGAGAUAGCCCAAAAAGGAGCUGCCAUGCUAACUCACGGGUCUGCGGAUAGGGAAGCUUGGCUCUGGCACCGACGCUUAGGUCAUCCUUCUCCGGGUUAUUUAAAAUUGUUUUUUCCCAAUAUUACUCCAAAAUCGAACAUGUAUUGUGAAACUUGUGUUUUGGCUAAAAGCCAUAGAAACUCCUAUCCUUUGAGUAACUCGUGUACUAAAUCCAUAUUUGAUUUGAUACAUUCCGAUGUUUAGGUGCCCGCACCAG